GCGAAGGCCAGCAGGGGGUUGGAGUGUGGUUCCUUCUCAAGGCAGCAGAGAACCAAGUGAGGGAACCCUUUUUGCCACAAAUACCAAAGAGCUUCAUUAGGAUCAAAGAUGGUAGGAUGACAGUUAGGCUAUUGAUGAAGUACUUGGUGAAAAAGCUUGGCUUGGAUGAUGAAUCUGAGGUGCAAAUUACUUGUAGAGGGCAGCCAUUGCUCCCCUUCUUUACUCUACAACACGUUCGAGACCAUAUAUGGUGUUUGAGCGGGGCGGUCGCGUUUCUACCGGACUCCCCAAGCACCGAUCAUGUCAUGACCCUUCAAUAUGGUAGAAGCCGAUAGAUCUUUCCGCUGUCUAAUUCUCUCGCGGCUUCUCUGUAUAAUUACUGGCUUCACUGUGCUCACCUCUAAUGUUUUUUGUUUCGAAAGUUUUGUUGAAGCUUCUCGUCCGAUUCUUUUGAGAAAAAUAGCUUGGAAGGGCAAGAAGUUUAGGAAAAAAAGAACAUUGCAAAGGAAUUGUACCUCCAAGCUAACUUUGUUUGAAUUAAUUUUUUUUUUU